rnacentral:rRNA from 1 species
CACUCCUGCGGGAGGCAGCAGUGGGGAAUAUUGCACAAUGGGCGCAAGCCUGAUGCAGCCAUGCCGCGUGUAUGAAGAAGGCCUUCGGGUUGUAAAGUACUUUCAGCGGGGAGGAAGGCAAUACGGUUAAUAACCGUGUUGAUUGACGUUACCCGCAGAAGAAGCACCGGCUAACUCCGUGCCAGCAGCCGCGGUAAUACGGAGGGUGCAAGCGUUAAUCGGAAUUACUGGGCGUAAAGCGCACGCAGGCGGUCUGUCAAGUCGGAUGUGAAAUCCCCGGGCUCAACCUGGGAACUGCAUUCGAAACUGGCAGGCUUGAGUCUUGUAGAGGGGGGUAGAAUUCCAGGUGUAGCGGUGAAAUGCGUAGAGAUCUGGAGGAAUACCGGUGGCGAAGGCGGCCCCCUGGACAAAGACUGACGCUCAGGUGCGAAAGCGUGGGGAGCAAACAGGAUUAGAAACCCUAGUAGUCCCAUGA